rnacentral:rRNA from 1 species
AUGUGGCUCGCCAGCGGCAACAAUCAGAUCAUGUCGGGUUUCAUGGUAUCCCCCGAGCAGUACAACGACACCGAUCUCCAUUUCUUCGUGUCAUGGACGGCCGAUGGGUUCAACGCCACGGGCUGCAUGGACACGGACUGCCAGGGCUUCGUGGGCUCCACGCCGCCGGCCAGCGUCUCCCCCGGGUCGACGGUCACGCCGACGUCCGUCUACCACGGCAAACAGACCGAGUACACCGUCACCAUCCUCCAGGUGGCUGGGAACUGGUCCCUCAUCGUGGACCUGUCGGGGGAGAACGAGACGGUCGGGUACUUGCCCGGCUCGCUGUUCACGGGCCUGGCGAGCAACGCGACGGUGGUCGGCUGGGGAGGCAACGCGCAGUCGUCGUCCGGCGCCGGGCCGCCGAUGGGGAGCGGACACGGGCCGGACGAGGGGGACGGCGUCGCGGCCUACGUGGCCAGCAUCGCGGUGUACGAUUCCAAGGGGAACGCCACCGCCCCGGCGGCCGGGAACGUGACGUCGCUCACGGACGCCGGAGACUGCUACGGUGCCAGCGAUUACGAGGUCGGAAAGGACGACGGCGGGUUCUUCUAUUACGGGGGGCCUCAAGGUUGCAACCACUAA